rnacentral:rRNA from 1 species
GUGGGGAAUAUUGGACAAUGGGCGAAAGCCUGAUCCAGCCAUGCCGCGUGUGUGAAGAAGGUCUUCGGAUUGUAAAGCACUUUAAGUUGGGAGGAAGGGCAGUAAGUUAAUACCUUGCUGUUUUGACGUUACCGACAGAAUAAGCACCGGCUAACUUCGUGCCAGCAGCCGCGGUAAUACGUAGGGUGCAAGCGUUAAUCGGAAUUACUGGGCGUAAAGCGCGCGUAGGUGGUUCAGCAAGUUGGAGGUGAAAUCCCCGGGCUCAACCUGGGAACUGCCUCCAAAACUACUGGGCUAGAGUACGGUAGAGGGUAGUGGAAUUUCCUGUGUAGCGGUGAAAUGCGUAGAUAUAGGAAGGAACACCAGUGGCGAAGGCGACUACCUGGACUGAUACUGACACUGAGGUGCGAAAGCGUGGGGAGCAAACAGGAUUAGAUACCCUUGUAGUCC